rnacentral:rRNA from 1 species
UAGUCUGGGAUACCAUUUGGAAACAGGUGCUAAUACCGGAUAAGAAAGCGGAUCGCAUGAUCAGCUUUUAAAAGGCGGCGUAAGCUGUCGCUAUGGGAUGGCCCCGCGGUGCAUUAGCUAGUUGGUAAGGUAAAGGCUUACCAAGGCGAUGAUGCAUAGCCGAGUUGAGAGACUGAUCGGCCACAUUGGGACUGAGACACGGCCCAAACUCCUACGGGAGGCAGCAGCC